GUUGUCUACAUUGUAUUUCAAAAUAUCAAAUCCAUCUGAUGGAUUACCCUGGCCAAGGCUUUGCUAAAUUGAAAUACAGCGACUCAUUCUUCUCCAACUCUUGGAGUGGUCAAUCCCAUCUCGAUCACACUCUGACUUCGCAAGUAUUUGACUGUGCCCAGAAGCCUUCCAUCUUUGAAUUAGAAAUUCAGUUAGUCCAGUACCAAAGCACAGUGAGUUGCUUGCAAGUCACUGAGGCGAUCUCAAGUCUAAGGGACACUUAUACCUAUAUCUCAUCAGAGACAUUCUCGACAGCAGAAUACUCUGGAGUUGGUCAUGUUCAAUGAUGAUGUACCAGUAUAUCU
rnacentral:lncRNA from 1 species